rnacentral:rRNA from 1 species
GGUUAACGCUGGCGGCGUGCCUAACACAUGCAAGUCGAACGGUUCUAAGCGCGAGCUUAGGAUAGUGGCGAACGGGUGAGUAAAAGGUAGGAAUCUACCCCUUGGACGGAGAUAGCUACUGGAAACGGUAGGUAAACUUCGAUAAGCCCGAGAGGGGAAAGUGGUGAGACAGCCGAGGGAUGAGCCUACUCUCCAUCAGGUAGUUGGUGAGAUAAAAGCUUACCAAGCCGAUGACGGAUAACCGGUGUGAGAGCAUGAACGGUCACAAGGGCACUGAGACACGGUCCAGACUCCUACGGGAGGCAGCAGUGGGGAAUUUUGGACAAUGGGCGCAAGCCUGAUCCAGCAAUGCCGCGUGCAGGAUGAAGGCCUUCGGUUGUAAACUAGCUUUUGUACGGAACGAAACGGUAGAGCUCUAAUAAAGACUUGCUAAUGACGGUACCGUAACGAAUAAGACACCGGCUAACUACGUG